rnacentral:piRNA from 1 species
UAAUAAUAAAUGUGGAAUAUUUAAUGGUUAC